rnacentral:lncRNA from 1 species
GCUGACCUGGAUUUAGUGGUCUCUGGGCUUCAAAAGGGUGCAACCAGGGCAAAGCAAAGGAAGAGGUGGGACUAUGUGAAGAAAGAAUGUAGGGUCUGACAUUUGAGGAAGGAGCUUCAUACUCUGAAUCCAAGGGCAAGAAUGAAGAUCUAACCAGAGUGCAGGAAAUAGGGAGGCGUGGAGCUAUGGAAGAGAGAGAACAGGGAGGUGACCCAAGAUGAACCCCUGAAUUCAUCUCUGAAUUCAUCUCUGUCAUCUGGAUUUCCAUUUUCACAGUUGCUCUUGUGCUUCCCAGAGAAAUCUUGGCGCCCUGAGUUGACAUCUUUGCUGGAGACUGACAGCUGGAAUGAGAUGUUCAAGUGAAGAAGAUGAAGAGAAACACGUCUCUUUAAGGAAAGACAUCAGGAACUUCUCUGGAAUGCUAUAUGAGGACUGAAAGCUGUCUCUGAGUUACAGCUGGUUUCAUCAACUUGAGACAUAGAGUUGACAUUUAUCAAAAGCUUUCUGGCUUCCAACAUGAAAAUUUCUAGAUAAUGUUCAGCCUAGAAAGUGGAAGAUUAAACUUCAAUGUUUCCUGUGAAAAUAAACCUUCAUUAAAAAAAUAAUUACCAAACACCUACUGUGCCAGGCUCUGCAGUAAGCAUCAGAGACACAGCACCCAGCAGAGAAGGAGCCCUAUGAGGUCUCUGUCAUCCUGGAACUUAGUCCUGACCUCCAACAUAAAGCCAGUCCUUUCAUUUAAAGAUGGAAUUGGUUGGAACACAAAGGAAACACCAGUACAAUUCAUAACUACGGAAACCUCCACAGAGCAAUGGAACACAGCUACAUUCCUGCACCUGGAAUGUCUGGUUUCAUGAGCAUCCAGAAGGAAGCGGGUGUGAAACUGAUCACCAACAUGUACAUUCUAAUUAAAUUCAGUCACAUUGCUAAAGCUGAGGACUCACAGAAUGGUUAUAAUGUACUUAUUUAAAAAAUAAAAUUUUAUUCUAAAAUAAUUCAAAUGAGAAGGAAACCAGGCAUAUGACUGUAAGUUAGUACUUAGCAAUCUAAUGAGUGAAGAGUUCUUAAAUAUAACAAUAGUCAAAACAGAAACAAUGAAAAACUUAGACUUUUUUGUUCAUAUUUGUCAAUUAAAACUGAUCAUAAACCAUUUUAAUCUUCUAACCAGUGUCUGUUAUAAUUUUGUCCAUUUUUUCAAUGGCAAAGAUUCCUAUUUAGAGUUCCUUCUUAUUCAAGGGGAUUGCUAGCUUUGUUUUCAAACUGAAAAUAACUUUAUUGUUUUGUGAUUAUAAAAAUGGGUAAAAGUAACAAAUGUUCAUAUAGUGUUUUAGCAAUACAUAAGUUCUGCAAUACUUAAAAGUGUGAAGAACAUGAAAUACAAGUAUAGCCAUCACUCAGUAUCCAUGGGGAAUUGGUUCCAGAAUCUUCCUUGGAUACCAAAAUUUGUAGAUGCUCAAGUCCCUCAUAUAACAUGGUGUAGUAUUUGCAUAUGACUUCCUGUAUACUUUAAAUCGGCUCUAGAUUACAUAUAAUACC